ACCUAGUUGGUUUAGUCUGUAGAGCAUACGACUCCCAAUCUUGGGGAUGUGGGUUCCAGCCCCACAUUGGGGG
rnacentral:tRNA from 1 species